rnacentral:rRNA from 1 species
UACGGGGGGAGCAAGCGUUGUUCGGAUUUACUGGGCGUAAAGGGCGCGUAGGCGGCCAGCGCAAGUCAGUUGUGAAAUCUCCGGGCUUAACUCGGAAAGGUCAACUGAUACUGCGCGGCUAGAGUGCGGAAGGGGCAACUGGAAUUCUCGGUGUAGCGGUGAAAUGCGUAGAUAUCGAGAGGAACACCUGCGGCGAAGGCGGGUAGCUGGGCCGACACUGACGCUGAGGCGCGAAAGCCAGGGGAGCGAACGGG